rnacentral:rRNA from 1 species
GGGCCCGCACAAGCGGUGGAGCAUGUGGUUUAAUUCGAUGCAACGCGAAGAACCUUACCAGGGCUUGACAUACUACGAAUUCUUUGGAGACAAAGAAGUGCCUUCGGGAAUGUAGAUACAGGUGGUGCAUGGCUGUCGUCAGCUCGUGUCGUGAGAUGUUGGUUAAGUCCCGCAACGAGCGCAACCCUUAUUUUUAGUUACCAAUUCGUUGGGUUCUCUAGAAAGACUGCCGGUGACAAACCGGAGGAAGGUGAGGAUGACGUCAAGUCAGCAUGCCCCUUAUGUCCUGGCUACACACGUGCUACAAUGGCGAGGACAAAGAGUUGCGAGCUCGCGAGAGU